CUUCACCUACCUGCUUUUGUUUUUCUCCAUCCGACCUCCACCAGCAGGAACACUCAGAAAAGCAAAAGUUCACGGAGUUGUCCUGUAUAUUUUUAUAUUUUGAAUUCUAGUUUGAGUUCCGCUCUCUAUAUAAGGAGCUUUAAGUUUCAUUUGUAAGGCAUCGAAAAAUUGAGUAGAAGAGUCUUCUCUCAAAGAGUACGAAAGCCAUAGUAGCAAUGUGUUUUCUAUAGUGUGCUUUCAUAAACAAGACGAUAUAUCGAGCUACUACUUGACGAAGGAACUCAUUUGCGUGGUCGCUAACCAGUACUUUUGCAGGUAUUAUUAGUUGAGGUCGGGCGUACAUGGUUUGAGGCAUAGUUGACGAAUAGCUUCCGCACUUCUUUGUUUGGCUCUGAUCUAUUGUGGGUUAGUGUUUUGGGUAGUCCACUUUAGGGAUGACUCGGCCAAUUCUAGGUAGAGUUAUCUCUAAGGUGGGCCACGUAGGGCCACCUCGGAUUUCAGGGUGAAAUCCGGGGCGGGUCUUGUCAAUAAAAGUGAACGUAUUUACAGACACACACACAAACUUUAAAAAAAAAAUAAAAAAAAAUAAAAGUUAAAUAUAUAUUACAUAAUCACAAAGAGUUGAGGGCAAGGUAUACAUAUAUAAUAGACAUCAAUCAAUGUAGGCUUGUAGCAGCAUGUAUGCAUUAGAGGUGGAAAAAAAAAAAAAAACAUAAAAGAGACAUUUAGAUGUUGGUUGGUGCAUGCGCACAGGUUGUACCGACGUUCAUAGCAUUAUUCUGCAUCUUAAUUGGUGCACGUCCUUUUGUUUUAGUGUUGUCAUGGUGUCUGUUAAAAACAAAGUAUAUAAACGCAUGAUCAUUUCUAUGACAUUGAUUCGGAAAACCUCU